rnacentral:rRNA from 1 species
AGUGAAUGCUGGCGGUAACCCUAACACAUGCAAGUCGAUCGGAAGAACUCUAAGUCCUUGCUCUCACUGGUGGCGACUCGCGCUCGGGCAAGAAAUCUAUCGGAACUCACUCUUUCGUGGGGCAUAUCGUAGGGCUACAUCCGCUUAUACCGCUUCUGAUUCUCUGCUGAAAGCAUUGGAUUUUCGGUUCGAGGUCGAUUGAAGGAGCUGUUGGCGGUUUCGCUAGUUGGCGGGGUAAAGGCCCACGAAGGCGACGAUCUGCCGCCGGUCUGAGAGGAUGAUCAGCCACGCUGGAACUGAGACACGGUCCAGACUCCUACGGGAGGCAGCAGUGGGGAAUAUUUGACAAUGGGCGCAAGCCUGAUCCAGCCAUACCGCGUGGGUGAAGAAGGCCUUCGGGUUGUAAAGCCCUUUUGUUGGGAAAGAAAAGCAGCAGGUUAAUACCCCGCUGUUCUGACGGUACCCAAAGAAUAAGCACCGGCUAACUUCGUG